UACGAAGGGGGCUAGCGUUGUUCGGAAUUACUGGGCGUAAAGCGCGCGCAGGCGGCUAUCCAAGUCAGUGGUGAAAGCCCGGAGCUCAACUCCGGAACUGCCAUUGAAACUGUUUAGCUUGAGGAUGAGAGAGGUGAGUGGAAUUCCCAGUGUAGAGGUGAAAUUCGUAGAUAUUGGGAAGAACACCGGUGGCGAAGGCGGCAACCUGGUCCUUGACUGACGCUGAGGCGCGAAAGCGUGGGGAGCAAACAGG
rnacentral:rRNA from 1 species